GUCCUGUUAGCUCAGUUGGUUAGAUCAUGGUGCUAAUAACGCCAAGGUCACAGGUUCAAUCCUGUAUGGGCCA
rnacentral:tRNA from 1 species